rnacentral:rRNA from 1 species
UAGGGAAUCUUCGGCAAUGGACGAAAGUCUGACCGAGCAACGCCGCGUGAGUGAAGAAGGUUUUUGGAUCGUAAAACUCUGUUGGUAGAGAAGAACGUUGGUGAGAGUGGAAAGCUCAUCAAGUGACGGUAACUACCCAGAAAGGGACGGCUAACUACGUGCCAG